rnacentral:rRNA from 1 species
GUGUAAUGAGCUGAAUGUACCCGAAGGAAUAAGGAUCGGCUAAAUUCCGUGCCAGCAGCCGCGGUAAUACGGAGGAUCCAAGCGUUAUCCGGAAUUUAUUGGGUUUAAAGGGUGCGUAGGCGGCUUUUUAAGUCAGGGGUGAAAGACGGUGGCUCAACCAUCGCAGUGCCCUUGAUACUAAGAGCUUGAAUACAUUAGAGGUAGGCGGAAUGUGACAAGUAGCGGUGAAAUGCAUAGAUAUGUCACAGAACACCGAUUGCGAAGGCAGCUUACUAUGAUGAGAUUGACGCUGAGGCACGAAAGCGUGGGGAUCAAACAGGAUUAGAUACCCUGGUAGUCCACGCCCUAAACGAUGAAUACUCGCUGUUAGCGAUACACAGUUAGCGGCUAAGCGAAAGCGUUAAGUAUUCCACCUGGGGAGUACGGUCGCAAGAUUGAAACUCAAAGGAAUUGACGGGGGCCCGCACAAGCGGAGGAGCAUGUGGUUUAAUUCGAUGAUACGCGAGGAACCUUACCCGGGCUUGAAAGUUAGUGAAUCAUUUAGAGAUAGAUGAGUGAGCAAUCACACGAAACUAGGUGCUGCAUGGCUGUCGUCAGCUCGUGCCGUGAGGUGUUGGGUUAAGUCCCGCAACGAGCGCAACCCCUAUGUUUAGUUGCCAGCACGUUAAGGUGGGGACUCUAAACAGACUGCCUGUGCAAACAGAGAGGAAGGAGGGGACGACGUCAAGUCAUCAUGGCCCUUACGUCCGGGGCUACACACGUGCUACAAUGGAUGGUACAGAGGGCAGCAAGCUGGCAACAGCAAGCGAAUCUCCAAAAGCCAUUCACAGUUCGGAUAGAGGUCUGCAACUCGACCUCUUGAAGUUGGAUUCGCUAGUAAUCGCAUAUCAGCAAUGAUGCGGUGAAUACGUUCCCGGGCCUUGUACACACC